rnacentral:piRNA from 1 species
UAGGAGAUGGUUCUGCCUUCAGGCAGAGAA